CAGCACAGCCGGCGCCAGUAUCGGGUUCGAAUCCGGUUGCUCCUAGGGAUAGCCACUGCGUGUGUUAAGAAGAAGAGGAAGGCAACCAGCCCAAUCCGCGUGCGCACCACGGAACAGCCCACGGUCUAAUCAGACUUGAGCACACUGCAGUCACUACACUCCCGAUGGAAGAAGUCGCGGAACUCAUACCUGAGCUGCCAGUAGGACACUCCGGCGCCGAGGUCCACAAAGAGAUCAAAGAAGAACCGCCGCCGUCACCACCGAUUUAUUCAAUCAACAACUCUGACAAAGCCAGAAGAAAUCUACGAAGAGCCAGAGGGAGUCAGCAAGAGCGUCACUCGAUGCUGGAUCCUAACUGCAUCCAUAUGCAUCUGGGUCGACGCAAACACGUCAGCCGCUCUGCAGCCCUCGCCAACGUUCACAGUCGGGUCUUCGUCAACGUCUACCACAGCCGCUUCUGCUACAGUUAUCGUCCCUCAGCACUGCGAAGAGGUGAUAAACAUACCGGAUUUCCAAGCCCUCGCUGCUUUGCCUGCUGGUCCGAUGUCCCGGAUUUACAAUAAACAAUCUUACUGUA